CAUGUCUAGUAUAGCAAUUAUACCGUGAAACUGCGAAUGGCUCAUUAAAUCAGUUAUCGUUUAUUUGAUAGUACCUUACUACUUGGAUAACCGUGGUAAUUCUAGAGCUAAUACAUGCUAAAAACCCCAACUUCGGGAGGGGUGUAUUUAUUAGAUAAAAAACCAAUGCCCUUCGGGGCUCCUUGGUGAUUCAUGAUAACUUCUCAGAUCGCAUGGCUUUACGCCGGCGACGGUUCAUUCAAAUUUCUGCCCUAUCAACUUUCGAUGGUAAGGUAUUGGCUUACCAUGGUUUCAACGGGUAACGGGGAAUUAGGGUUCGAUUCCGGAGAGGGAGCCUGAGAAACGGCUACCACAUCCAAGGAAGGCAGCAGGCGCGCAAAUUACCCAAUUCCGAUACGGAGAGGUAGUGACAAUAAAUACUGAUACAGGGCUCUUUUGGGUCUUGUAAUUGGAAUGAGUACAAUUUAAACCUCUUAACGAGGAACAAUUGGAGGGCAAGUCUGGUGCCAGCAGCCGCGGUAAUUCCAGCUCCAAUAGCGUAUAUUAAAGUUGUUGCAGUUAAAAAGCUCGUAGUUGAACCUUUGGCCUGGCUGGCAGGUCCGCCUCACCGCGUGCACUUGUCCGGCCGGGCCUUUUCUUCUGGAGAACCGCAUGCCCUUCACUGGGUGUGUUGGGGACCAGGACUUUUACUUUGAAAAAAUUAGAGUGUUCAAAGCAGGCCUUUGCUCGAAUACGUUAGCAUGGAAUAAUAGAAUAGGACGUGCGGUCCUAUUUUGUUGGUUUCUAGGACCGCCGUAAUGAUUAAUAGGGACAGUCGGGGGCAUCAGUAUUCAAUUGUCAGAGGUGAAAUUCUUGGAUUUAUUGAAGACUAACUACUGCGAAAGCAUUUGCCAAGGAUGUUUUCAUUAAU
rnacentral:rRNA from 1 species